UACGUAGGAGGCAAGCGUUGUCCGGAGUUACUGGGCGUAAAGCGCACGCAGGCGGUCUCUUAAGUUUGUAGGGACAGGGCACAGCUUAACUGUGUCAGGCUUAUGAAAACUGGGAGACUUGAGGGCUUCAGAGGGAUGGGGAAUUCCGGGUGGAGUGGUGAAAUGCGUAGAGAUCCGGAAGAACACCAAAGGCGAAGGCACCAUCCUGGGGAGUCACUGACGCUCGGGUGCGAAAGCCAGGGGAG
rnacentral:rRNA from 1 species